rfam:Methylosinus sp. R-45379 contig_9, whole genome shotgun sequence.
GCCCACUUUCGCACGUGCCUGUGGUCGUGUGUCGGUCGAUGGGGAUCCGGACAAGAGGCCGGUCAACCAUCGGAAUAAAACCGGCAGCCGGAGGCGAAACCGGCGAACCUCGCCUGAGCGAGGGAUCGCGACUUAAAGCAACGACGGACCGGGCUUUU